UACGGAGGAUGCGAGCGUUAUCCGGAAUUAUUGGGUUUAAAGGGCGUGUAGGCGGGAUUACAAGUCAGAUGUGAAAACCACGGGCUCAACCUUAAAAUUGCAGUUGAAACUGGCAUUCUUGAGUGCGGCAGAGGCAGGCGGAAUUCGUGGUGUAGCGGUGAAAUGCUUAGAUAUCACGAAGAACUCCGAUUGCGAAGGCAGCUUGCUGGAGCGUAACUGACGUUGAUGCUCGAAAGUGUGGGUAUCAAACAGG
rnacentral:rRNA from 1 species